rnacentral:tRNA from 1 species
GGCCCGUUGGUCAAGCGGUUAAGACUCCGCCCUUUCACGGCGGCAACAUGGGUUCGAGUCCCGUACGGGUCA